rnacentral:rRNA from 1 species
AGAAUCAACGCUGGCGGCGUGCCUAACACAUGCAAGUCGAACGAGAAAGUGGAGCAAUCCAUGAGUAAAGUGGCGACCGGGUGAGUAACACGUGACUAACCUACCUUCAAGUGGGGGAUAACCUCGGGAAACCGGGGCUAAUACCGCAUAACAUCUUUGGAGUGGAAAUUCUGGAGAUCAAAGGAGCAAUUCGCUGGAAGAGGGGGUCGCGGCUGAUUAGCUAGUUGGCGGGGUAAUGGCCCACCAAGGCUUUGAUCGGUAGCCGGCCUGAGAGGGCGCACGGCCACACUGGAACUGAAACACGGUCCAGACUCCUACGGGAGGCAGCAGUGGGGAAUUUUGCGCAAUGGGGGAAACCCUGACGCAGCAACGCCGCGUGGAGGAUGAAGUCCCUUGGGACGUAAACUCCUUUCGACCGGGAAGAUUAUGACGGUACCGGUGGAAGAGCCCGGCUAACUUCGUGCCAGCAGCCGC